rfam:Picea glauca chloroplast, complete genome.
CUACGGACUUGAUCGAAUUGAGCCUUGGUAUGGAAACCUACCAAGUGAUAGCUUCCAAAUCCAGGGAACCCUGGGAUAUUUUGAAUGGGUAAUCCUGAGCCAAAUCCGGUUCAUGGAGACAAUAGUUUCUUCUUUUAUUCUCCUAAGAUAGGAAGGGGAUAGGUGCAGAGACUCAAUGGAAGCUAUUCUAACGAAUGAAUCUCAUUUGGUCCAAUACUGUAUUUAUAGAACGCUCUAUUUACACCUAAAAAGUGGGAAUGUGAUAUAACAUCAGACAAAACUCGCGAUCAGAACUUGAAUCGUUCCAAGCAUCUAUUCGUAAGAUAGAUGCCAGAUUCGAGUUGAAGUACUGAUUUUACAUUAAGUAAUCCAAUUAUGAACUUCUCUACUUUAGAUAGAGAAUUGAAUCAGUUUUUGGAAUAAAUGGUUGGACGAGAAUAAAGAUAGAGUCCAAUUCUACGUGUCAAUGUCAA